rnacentral:rRNA from 1 species
GACGAACGCUGGCGGCGUGGAUUAGGCAUGCAAGUCGAACGGUAUCAUCCUUUCGGGGGUGAGAGAGUGACGAACUGGUGAGUAACACGUAGGUUAUCUACCCUCAAGACGGGGACAACCCAGGGAAACUUGGGCUAAUACCGGAUGUGAGCAACUUUUAGUUGUUUGAAAGGUGGCGUAAGCUGUCGCUUGGGGAUGAGCCUGCGUCCUAUUAGUUAGUUGGUGAGGUAACGGCUCACCUAGGCAAUGAUAGGUAGGCGGCCUUAACGGGUGGUCGCCCACACUGGGAUUGAGAUACGGCCCAGACUCCUACGGGAGGCAGCAGUCGAGAAUAGUCUACAAUGGUCGGAAGACUGAUAGUGCGACGCCGCGUGAACGAUGAAUCCCUUCGGGGUGUAAAGUUCUUUUAUAUGUGAGCAGUGCUUCUUAUAUUAACAGUAUGGGGAGAGAGAUAUUAGCAUAUGAAUAAGCAACGGCUAACUCCGUGCCAGCAGCCGCGGUAAA